GAAGGUGGAGGAGACGCUGGAGGAGCGGGGUGCGCAACAUUAGCUAGUUGGUGAGGUAACGGCCCACCAAGGCGAUGAUGUUUAGCGGGGUUGAGAGACUGAUCCGCCACACUGGGACUGAGAUACGGCCCAGACUCCUACGGGAGGCAGCAGUAGGGAAUAUUCCACAAUGGACGAAAGUCUGAUGGAGCGACACAGCGUGCAGGAUGAAGGCCCUAUGGGUUGUAAACUGCUGUGGUAAGGGAAUAAAAAAUAGUGUAGGAAAUGCCACUAUAUUGAAUGA
rnacentral:rRNA from 1 species